UGGGGAAUUUUGCACAAUGGGGGAAACCCUGAUGCAGCGACGCCGCGUGAUUUAGAAGGCCUUCGGGUUGUAAAAAUCUUUUUUACGGGAUGAAAAUGACAGUACCGUAAGAAUAAGGUCCGGCUAAUUACGUGCCAGCAGCCGCGGUAAUACGUAUGGACCGAGCGUUGUCCGGAAUCAUUGGGCGUAAAGGGUACGUAGGCGGCCUAGUAAGUUAGAAGUGAAAUAAUAUAGCUCAACUAUAUAAAGCUUUUAAAACUGCUAGGCUUGAGAGAUGGAAGGGAAAGUGGAAUUCCUAGUGUAGCGGUGAAAUGCGCAGAUAUUAGGAAGAAUACCGGUGGCGAAGGCGACUUUCUGGUCAUCAUCUGACGCUGAGGUACGAAAGCGUGGGUAGCAAACAGG
rnacentral:rRNA from 1 species